UAAUACGUAGGUGGCAAGCGUUGUCCGGAAUUAUUGGGCGUAAAGCGCGCGCAGGCGGUCCUUUAAGUCUGAUGUGAAAUCUUGCGGCUCAACUGCAAGCGGUCAUUGGAAACUGGGGGACUUGAGUGCAGAAGAGGAAAGCGGAAUUCCACGUGUAGCGGUGAAAUGCGUAGAGAUGUGGAGGAACACCAGUGGCGAAGGCGGCUUUCUGGUCUGUAACUGACGCUGAGGCGCGAAAGCGUGGGGAGCAAACAGGAUUAGAUACCCUGGUAGUCCACGCCGUAAACGAUGAGUGCUAAGUGUUGGAGGGUUUCCGCCCUUCAGUGCUGCAGCUAACGCAUUAAGCACUCCGCCUGGGGAGUACGGUCGCAAGACUGAA
rnacentral:rRNA from 1 species